UACGAAGGGGGCUAGCGUUGCUCGGAAUGGCUGGGCGUAAAGGGCGCGUAGGCGGUUUGGACAGUCAGAUGUGAAAUUCCUGGGCUCAACCUGGGGGCUGCAUUUGAUACGUUCGGACUAGAGUGGGGAAGAGGGUCGUGGAAUUCCCAGUGUAGAGGUGAAAUUCGUAGAUAUUGGGAAGAACACCGGUGGCGAAGGCGGCGACCUGGUCCUUGACUGACGCUGAGGCGCGAAAGCGUGGGGAGCAAACAGG
rnacentral:rRNA from 1 species